rnacentral:rRNA from 1 species
GACGAACGCUGGCGGCGUGCUUAACACAUGCAAGUCGAACGGUAAGGCCCUUCGGGGUACACGAGUGGCGAACGGGUGAGUAACACGUGGGUGAUCUGCCCUGCACUUCGGGAUAAGCCUGGGAAACUGGGUCUAAUACCGGAUAGGACCACUGCCUGCAUGGGUGGUGGUGGAAAGCUUUUGCGGUGUGGGGUGGGCCCGCGGCCUAUCAGCUUGUUGGUGGGGUGAUGGCCUACCAAGGCGACGACGGGUAGCCGGCCGGAGAGGGUGACCGGCCACACUGGGACUGGGAUACGGACCAGACUCCUACGGGAGGCAGCAGUGGGGAAUAUUGCACAAUGGGCGCAAGCCUGAUGCAGCGACGCCGGGUGAGGGAUGACGGCCUUCGGGUUGUAAACCUCUUUCAGCACCGACGAAGCGCAAGUGACGGUAGGUGCAGAAGAAGGACCGGCCAACUACGUGCCAGCCGCCGCAGUAA